AGUGAACGCUGGCGGUAGGCCUAACACAUGCAAGUCGAACGGCAGCACAGAGGAGCUUGCUCCUUGGGUGGCGAGUGGCGGACGGGUGAGGAAUACAUCGGAAUCUACUCUGUCGUGGGGGAUAACGUAGGGAAACUUACGCUAAUACCGCAUACGACCUACGGGUGAAAGCAGGGGAUCUUCGGACCUUGCGCGAUUGAAUGAGCCGAUGUCGGAUUAGCUAGUUGGCGGGGUAAAGGCCCACCAAGGCGACGAUCCGUAGCUGGUCUGAGAGGAUGAUCAGCCACACUGGAAAUGAGACACGGUCCAGACUCUUACGGGAGGCAGCAGUGGGGAAUAUUGGACAAUGGGCGCAAGCCUGAUCCAGCCAUACCGCGUGGGUGAAGAAGGCCUUCGGGUUGUAAAGCCCUUUUGUUGGGAAAGAAAUCCAUCUGGUUAAUACCCGGGUGGGAUGACGGUACCCAAAGAAUAAGCACCGGCUAACUUCGUGCCAGCCGCCGCAGUAA
rnacentral:rRNA from 1 species